UGCUCGAUUCCACCGGACGCGCGCCUAGGCGGCCGGCGCUCCGAACCGCGGAUCUCUCGCAUCGUUCGAGUAGCCUCUUCUACGCCUCCUGUUCUGCAUCUGUGCUCCAUCGGUCUAUCUCCUGAUCGAUCACCGAAACCGGCUGAACAGGAGAAAAAAUAGAAACCCAAGAUGAAGAUGACUCGGACAGUUUUCCGUGAUCAUGCUUCGGGCCCCUCUAUUAUUGCCCCUCUAUUAUUGCUGUCGAAGAAAUGAUGGCCGCAAAAGAAGAAAAGCCUUCAUUAAUUUGGUAUCGCUGUUUGCAAUGACGAUCUUUGUUAAAUUGAUGAUGCAUUUAGUGAAUUUGCCCUCAUAGUUAUAAAAAAAAUAGUUUUACUGAAUUUGAAAUUCACAUUUUAUUCCUAAUCAAAACUUGUGGU